GUGCUCACUUCUGCAGCACAUAUACUAAAAUUGGAAUGAUACAGAGGACCCUGCACAAGGAUGACAUGCAAAUUUGUGAAGCUUUCCAUAUUUUU
rnacentral:snRNA from 1 species